rnacentral:rRNA from 1 species
GACGAACGCUGGCGGCGUGCCUAAUACAUGCAAGUCGAACGAGAGCGCCCGGUGCUUGCACUGGUCAAUCUAGUGGCGAACGGGUGAGUAACACGUGGGUAACCUGCCCAUCAGAGGGGGAUAACAUCCGGAAACGGAUGCUAAAACCGCAUAGUACUUCGAACCGCAUGGUUUGAAGAGGAAAAGAGGCGCAAGCUUCUGCUGAUGGAUGGACCCGCGGUGCAUUAGCUAGUUGGUGAGGUAACGGCUCACCAAGGCCGUGAUGCAUAGCCGACCUGAGAGGGUGAUCGGCCACAUUGGGACUGAGACACGGCCCAGACUCCUACGGGAGGCAGCAGUAGGGAAUCUUCCGCAAUGGACGCAAGUCUGACGGAGCAACGCCGCGUGAGUGAAGAAGGUUUUCGGAUCGUAAAACUCUGUUGUUAGAGAAGAACAAGUGCUAGAGUAACUGUUAGCGCCUUGACGGUAUCUAACCAGAAAGCCACGGCUAACUACGUG